rnacentral:lncRNA from 12 species
UUACAGAAAAUCAACUGUCUGAAGAACAGAAGGCAAACCCUGGAGUUUCUCUAUCUCUAUCUCUGUCUGUCAGAUCAUUGCAUUUUCAUUUAAGGUCACUCCAAGGGAGUCUGCAGGUCAGUGUGCUACAAAUGGAUCUCAACUCAAUUUGCUCAUAAGAAUCAUCAGAGAGCUUUUUAAAGGAUCAGUCAUCACAGAGGUGUAUCUCUGAGUCGUGAAGUUUGUCAGAUGCUUGGAAGAACUCCCCAAGAAAUGCUCUGAUUUUUGCCCUUUUGAAAUCUGAAAUUGCAGACACCAGUUCCUCCUCUAGAGCAACUUUUGAAUUCAAGAUGAGAAGAAUCCACCCCAUGAGGAAUAACCAGAGAUGAAAGACCUGGUGUUACGUGGGUAUCUGUUCUCUUCAGCACCUCGUGCCCCUC